rnacentral:lncRNA from 1 species
AAAUGAAGGAGUGAGGAGUGUGUGCAGCCAACGGGGCUUCUUUGGAAGAAAGCAGUAUGUUUGCAGCCAGUGGAAGAUCCUCUUCAGCAUCAGGAUCAGGCGCUGAGGUCCCUUUUCCCUCUGGCUGCUCUCCGUGUCACUCGGGAUGGCCAUCUCCACCUCCUGCCACCAGCUGCCCCCUCCCCAAGGUGCUCACUUGCUCCUUCGGCAGCAUCCCCACGGGAGCCCUCCAGGACUGCAGGAAGAAGAGAAACACUGCAAUAAAUGGUAAUGCAAAUAGCAACUGCAGCUCUAAUUACAAGAGAGAAAAGGGAUUAAAAUUAGAACUGAGAAUAGUAAACAAAUCUAAAUUCUGCAGGGAAGAUGUGGGGGGCUUCUCGUGGGUUUUGAAAGUGGAAGUCAAUUCUCUUCUGUCGUUUCUUGUGUUUGCUGAGCCCAGCUCUCUCCCUCGAGAAAGAGCUUUCAAGAAAGUUUCGUUUCUCUGCGCGGUGUUGGUCCUGCAGGCCACCGCCGCGCUGCCGACGCGGGUUGAGGUCACAGCUCCUCUUUGUCGUUUUUUUCCCCCGUACACUGGUGUCACCACUUGUUUACAGGAGCCCAAUUAUUAAUGUGUUGAAUGCCCACAUCAAAAGACUUCCGAAACCUCCUGGAAACUGAAAAAGCCUCAUUGGUAGAACCUGUGUUCAGUCUUGUUGGUAGAUUUGAGUCUUUGAAAUACGUGUGUUUGAGGGCUAGUGCCUAGCUCAGCACCACUGCCGGGCUUUGCAUCAUUUGUUAGUGGAAGCUUUCGUUUAUCUUCAAUAGCAAGGAAGCUCUUCUCAGGCACUUUUACCUCAAUUUUUGCUGAAAUGGCCAAUUUCCCUAGCACAGCGGGGAAAAGGGAAAAAGCAAAUCAUCAAUGUUCACUCUCUGGCUACGAAAUCUUGCAGAAACGAUCACAAGUGACUGGGUACCCGAGCAGGGUGACAGUGAAACCUUAUGGAAAAUUCCUCGACUGCUGCAGGUUCGGGAGGAAGACUUGCCAAGUGCAAUUCGUUUCUCCAUCCAAUCCUCAGAGGGAGCAAUCCCCAAAAUUGCUGCUCCGGGCAUGGCAAGGGCCCCUGCCUCGCAGGCACGGGGUGGUGGGCAGCUGGAACAAGCUAGCAGGAGCUACUCUUUAGCUGUGCUAUGACACUGCAAAGACCUGAAAUGUGCAUUUCCUUUGAGGAAGAUGCCAUUUAUGAUAACCAAAUUACGAGUUCACGUUUUUAUCAAAUCCGGGUAAGCAACUAUUUAACCUCCAACACCCCCCACCCCCCUACACCGGUGACUAAAUGAAUGGUUUUCUGCAGAAGAGCUAUGUCAGUGUACAAGAUCCUCCACCACGCUUUCCUCCUUCCACAAAGAUGAAUCUUAGAGGGAAAAAGAAAAAAAAAUUACUUUUUUUUUUUUUUUCUCUUUUUUUUUAUAUCCUCUUUGGGUAAAAUCCUGGCCUGCUGGCAGCCCUGCCACCGGUGAGUCACACGCAUGACAUCGCAUCUGCUCUGUGAAGGCGGUGGCUGAGGCAGUGGCACUUUCUGUGACGUGCAGCCCUGCGUAGCCACGAGCCGAGGAUGUCCAGCGAGGCCA